rfam:Populus trichocarpa scaffold_9_contig_77, whole genome shotgun sequence.
CUUUUUAGGGACAAACGUCAAUAGUCUCCUAAUUUUUAGGGACUGAUGUCAUUUUUAACGUGUCUCCUAUUUUUAGGGACC